UUUUAUCCUAAUUAUCAUUAGUUAUCCUAAUUACUGUUAACUAUCCUAAUAACUAAUUAUUCCAAUUAAUCCUAGGAUUAUCUCUAUUAAUUAUCCAGAAUGGACCUUGGAUUUGGGAUUGUUCCUGGCCCAAACGCCAGGGAGUGUACUGGUUGUGGAGUGUAUGAAUGGAUAGCUUGGACAUUGAGCCAUAGUUUCUUGGGAGAAAAGCCCGAUACUCCAAAAUCACAAUCCAAGCAAUCCAGGAAAACUCUCAGAACAAUGAAGGAAACCGAAACGCACCUUCAGGAGUCAAAAAGUUCAUGAACGGAAACUACUGGUGUAACAACCGUACGUCGUCGUUGUCAUAGUGUCACCGGAGGGACGGGACAUGGUCGCUUAUCCAUCGUGCGUUGUCGCCAAAGCGCCACCGUCGCCAGAGUGGAAUGGCCUACGCAACGUCGUCACAACUUAUCGUCACCAGCGCGUCGUCGCCAAAGCGCCGCCGUCUCCGGUUCGGAUUGUGCACUUUCGAGACCGAGAGCGGCUUCGUGCUCUUAGGCUUCUGCUUUAAUUCCGUUCCAAUCUUAUGUUUCUGUUUAUCGGCGUCUCGCCGUAGUGGAUCGCUUUGCCGUUUUCAACAGAGGCUCCGCGUUGUUGUUGCUCGAUUUCUCGAAGCGGCGACGAAGGUGAUUUACAAAAAUUGACGACAAGGUUACGUAUGGUGUGCCAGAAGAUUCGGAACGGAGAUGAGAGUUUGUAACGGUUUGGGGGAUGAAGAAGAAGAAGGUGAUGGUGAUGAAGGUUUGCGACUGAAAAAACUCCCUCCGAUCUUUUUUGUGAAUCUUUCUCCUCCUGCGAGCUUCAAUUAUGUGAUGAACGUAACAACUUUUUGUUGAGCUCUUUCCCUUCUUUGAGAUUUUGGUUAGGAUUUUGCAGUGCAAUGGUUGUUGCGGUUCAUAUGCGGUGGUGGUGACUGGUUUGUGAGGGCGAAGAUUGGAAGGUGGAGAGAGGAAUCAAAAAGUGAAGAAAAUGGGAGAUCUCAACUCCGAGUUUUCAGUGAAGAAUCAAAAAGCUCCCGCUGCCAUCGAUGAAGACUCACCUUUAUAGGAUUUUUGAGGCAGGUUUUUUCAGUUAUCGUUUUGGUUAAUUAUGUCAGCGUCGCCGUUGUUAAGCUUGUGCAGUAGCUUUGAGUUUGGAGUUUUGGCGCGCCAUUUGUUGUAGUGUGGUUAUGCUGGCGUGCGACAUUGGUUGUGCGUGCGUAGCUUGUGGUAGCUAUAGCAUUUCGUGGCUUGUUCGCUUACGUACUGCAGCUUGUUUUCAGCUUUUUUGGCUUUCACUUCUUUUUCAUUGCUGGCUGAAAUUUCAGCUGCAGCUUUAUCCUUGCUGGCUAGGCGUUUGGCGGCACUUUGGAGCUUUUUGCGGUAAUGCUGGCUUGGGAAUGUAGCAACUUUGGUUUUGUCCGCUUACUUAUUUAUUAUUAUUUGGGUGUGUAUAUGUACAUGAAUAGAAAUGGGAGUGGAUUGGUAAAAAAUGAAAAAUCGGAUUUGGAUGUUAAA